CCCUUAGAUGUCCUGGGCCGCACGCGCGUUACACUGAUGCAUUCAACGAGCUUAUAACCUUGGCCGAGAGGCCUGGGCAAUCUUGUUAACGUGCAUCGUGAUAGGGAUAGAUUAUUGAAAUUAUUAAUCUUGAACGAGGAAUUCCUAGUAAACGCAGAUCAUCAAUCUGCAUUGAUUACGUCCCUGCCCUUUGUACACACCGCCCGUCGCUGCUACCGAUUGGUUGAUCUGGUGAAUUAUUCGGACUGCCGGCUGAAGGGGUUUCCUCAUCUGCCAGCGGAAAGUCUUGUUAACCCUAUCAACUAGAGGAAGCAGAAGUCGUAACA
rnacentral:rRNA from 1 species